UUACGGCCACAUCAAUUUGAAAGACUGGUUUCCGUGCGAUCAUUGAAGUUAAGAAACCUCGAGCUUGGUCAGUACCAGAUGGGUAACCGCUUGGAAAUGCCAGGUGUUGUAAG